rnacentral:rRNA from 1 species
AGCGGCAGGCCUAACACAUGCAAGUCAGGGGGUAACAGGAAAGCUUGCUUUCGCUGACGACCGGCGCACGGGUGCGUAACGCGUAUGCAACUUGCCCUCAACUGGGAAAUAGCCCGGAGAAAUUCGGAUUAAUGUCCCAUAGUAUCACAUCACCGCAUGAUGAUGUGCUUAAAGCUUCGGCGGUUGAGGAUGGGCAUGCGUCCUAUUAGCUUGUUGGUGAGGUAACGGCUCACCAAGGCUGCGAUAGGUAGGGGGCCUGAGAGGGUAAUCCCCCACACUGGUACUGAGACACGGACCAGACUCCUACGGGAGGCAGCAGUGAGGAAUAUUGGUCAAUGGACGAAAGUCUGAACCAGCCAUGCCGCGUGCAGGAUGACGGCCCUACGGGUUGUAAACUGCUUUUAUACAGGAAGAAUUGUACCUACGUGUAGGUAUUUGACGGUACUGUACGAAUAAGGAUCGGCUAACUCCGUG